rnacentral:rRNA from 1 species
AUCGUUAAUAGCAUAUCAUUUGACGUUAGCUGCAGAAGAAGCACCGGCUAACUCCGUGCCAGCAGCCGCGGUAAUACGGAGGGUGCGAGCGUUAAUCGGAAUUACUGGGCGUAAAGCGCAUGCAGGUGGUUUGUUAAGUCAGAUGUGAAAGCCCGGGGCUCAACCUCGGAAUUUGCAUUUGAAACUGGCAAACUAGAGUACUGUAGAGGGGGUAGAAUUUCAGGUGUAGCGGUGAAAUGCGUAGAGAUCUGAAGGAAUACCGGUGGCGAAGGCGGCCCCCCUGGACAGAUACUGACACUCAGAUGCGAAAGCGUGGGGAGACAAACAGGAUUAGACUACCCUGGUAG